GGGCCCGUAGUCUAGCCUGGUAGGACGCUACCCUCACACGGUAGAGGUCGCGGGUUCAAAUCCCGCCGGGCCCA
rnacentral:tRNA from 1 species